rnacentral:rRNA from 1 species
AUUGAACGCUGGCGGCAGGCCUAACACAUGCAAGUCGAGCGAGCGGCGGACGGGUGAGUAAUGUAUGGGGAACUGCCCGAUAGAGGGGGAUAACUACUGGAAACGGUGGCUAAUACCGCAUACCAUCAGAUGAACCCAUAUGGGAUUAGCUAGUUGGUGGGGUAACGGCUCACCUAGGCGACGAUCCCUAGCUGGUCUGAGAGGAUGAUCAGCCACACUGGGACUGAGACACGGCCCAGACUGCUACGGGAGGCAGCAGUGGGGAAUGUUGCACAAUGGGCGCAAGCCUGAUGCAGCCAUGCCGCGUGUAUGAAGAAGGCCUUAGGGUUGUAAAGUACUUGCAGCGGUGAGGCGUGACCCGCAGAAGAAGCACCGGCUAACUCCGUGCCAGCAGCCGCGGUAAUUC